CCUACGGGUGGCAGCAGUCGAGAAUCAUUCACAAUGGGGGAAACCCUGAUGGUGCGACGCCGCGUGGGGGAAUGAAGGUCUUCGGAUUGUAAACCCCUGUCAUGUGGGAGCAAAUUAAAAAGAUAGUACCACAAGAGGAAGAGACGGCUAACUCUGUGCCAGCAGCCGCGGUAAUACAGAGGUCUCAAGCGUUGUUCGGAAUCACUGGGCGUAAGGCGUGCGUAGGCUGUUUCGUAAGUCGUGUGUGAAAGGCGCGGGCUCAACCCGCGGACGGCACAUGAUACUGCGAGACUAGAGUAAUGGAGGGGGAACCGGAAUUCUCGGUGUAGCAGUGAAAUGCGUAGAGAUCGAGAGGAACACUCGUGGCGAAGGCGGGUUCCUGGACAUUAACUGACGCUGAGGCACGAAGGCCAGGGGAGCGAAAGGGAUUAGAUACCCUGGUAGUC
rnacentral:rRNA from 1 species